GUUGUCAUUGGGUUUUCGCAUGGCCUAAACUAUGGUCCAGCAAAUGCAAUUAAAGACGCAAGGCAAAAAAAUGAAGGUUGAGACAGUAUGGGAUGAGAAUUGUGCUCUGUUCCUAAAACGUUUAUAAGACGAGUUUUGGAGUUUAAGAGAUACCGUAUGAAGACAGUUCUAUUUCUAUGUUCAUACCCGACAAAAGGAUGUAAAUUUCUUUCAAACCCGGAAGCGAAUUUACAUUUAAAACAUCAAUGUCUUGCACUACUUCCAAAAUUAUUCAUGUGAAACAUG